rnacentral:rRNA from 1 species
AAGCCUAAACAUGCAGUCGAACGAGAAGACCUUCGGGUCUCUAGUGGCGAACGGGUGAGUAACACGUAGGGAACCUGCCCGCGCACCGGGAAUACGCUCUGGAAACGGAGAACAAAUCCCGAUGUACAGGAAGGAGGCAUCUUCUUUCUGUGAAACAUCCUUUAGGGGAUGGGGCGCGGAUGGACCUGCGGUGCAUUAGUUGGUUGGCGGGGUAAAGGCCCACCAAGACGAUGAUGCAUAGCCGGCCUGAGAGGGCGAACGGCCACAUUGGGACUGAGACACGGCCCAGACUCCUGCGGGAGGCAGCAGUAGGGAAUUUUCGUCAAUGGGCGCAAGCCUGAACGAGCGAUGCCGCGUGAGUGAAGAAGGCCUUCGGGUCGUAAAGCUCUGUUGCGGGGGAAAAAAGGCAGCAUCAGGAAAUGGGUGCUGACUGAUGGUGCCCCGCCAGGAAGUCACGGCUAACUACGUGCCAGCAGCCGCGGUAAUACGUAGGUGGCGAGCGUUAUCCGGAAUGAUUGGGCGUAAAGGGUGCGCAGGCGGUCCUGCAAGUCUGGAGUGAAACGCGUGAGCUCAACUCAUGCAUGGCUUUGGAAACUGGAGGACUGGAGAGCAGGAGAGGGCGGUGGAACUCCAUGUGUAGCGGUAAAAUGCGUAGAUAUAUGGAAGAACACCAGUGGCGAAGGCGGCCGCCUGGCCUGUUGCUGACGCUGAGGCACGAAAGCGUGGGGAGCAAAUAGGAUUAGAUACCCU